rnacentral:rRNA from 1 species
GGGUUGUGAGGUUAAGCGACUAAGCGUACACGGUGGAUGCCCUGGCAGUCAGAGGCGAUGAAGGACGUGCUAAUCUGCGAUAAGCGUCGGUAAGGUGAUAUGAACCGUUAUAACCGGCGAUUUCCGAAUGGGGAAACCCAGUGUGAUUCGUCACACUAUCAUUAACUGAAUCCAUAGGUUAAUGAGGCGAACCGGGGGAACUGAAACAUCUAAGUACCCCGAGGAAAAGAAAUCAACCGAGAUUCCCCCAGUAGCGGCGAGCGAACGGGGAGCAGCCCAGAGCCUGAAUCAGUGUGUGUGUUAGUGGAAGCGUCUGGAAAGGCGCGCGAUACAGGGUGACAGCCCCGUACACAAAAAUGCACAUACUGUGAGCUCGAUGAGUAGGGCGGGACACGUGGUAUCCUGUCUGAAUAUGGGGGGACCAUCCUCCAAGGCUAAAUACUCCUGACUGACCGAUAGUGAACCAGUACCGUGAGGGAAAGGCGAAAAGAACCCCGGCGAGGGGAGUGAAAAAGAACCUGAAACCGUGUACGUACAAGCAGUGGGAGCACGCUUAGGCGUGUGACUGCGUACCUUUUGU